AGUAUUAUUAGAAGUAUGCGUUUAGCACAGAGCAAGUAAUUGCGUUUAGUGGUUAUCUAUUCAUGUUAGAGCAUGUGCAUCGACAGAAAAUGGAGCCAGGAACUUCGCGAAAAGAUUAUAAAAAUCACCGAUAUUCUGGUGCGAGAAAAAGUCGCAAACGAGUUCGUGGACAAAUGAAACGCUAUCACGGAUUAGUGAAAAGAUAUGUAAAUAAAAAUCUACAGCACCCUGCGACAACCAUGUUAAAACAAUACUUCUUUGAGAAGCACUUUCGAAUCGUGAAUACACAUUUUUAACAAUUACCACCGAUUCGGAAAGCAGCAUCUAUGGGAGAACCGGCAAGAAACUCCAUAUUCUGACCAAUGACAUUUCAUAAUUGCAACGGUCCGUGACAUUGUAGCAAAAUGAAAAAAAAAAAUGUGCGACCAGCAGGCCAUCAUUGACAAAGUUUUGAUUUUUAGGUGCUAGUCCAGAUGGUAAUGUGGCAUAAUUAAUUGAAAGGUCUAUUUGGUAUGAAGAAUCAAAAAGUUCAACAGCACGGUGAUUAUGGCCUGAUCUCUUACAGGCCACAUCCCACCUUUGGGACCAUCCACUGGCCUGGCAGUUACUACCACCCUAAAUAAAAUGCUUCUCUUUAGUCAUAAAA